AUUGAACGCUGGCGGCAUGCUUUACACAUGCAAGUCGAACGGUAACAGGCCGCAAGGUGCUGACGAGUGGCGAACGGGUGAGUAAUGCAUCGGAACGCGCCCCGUCGUGGGGGAUAACUACUCGAAAGAGUAGCUAAUACCGCAUACGAUCUAUGGAUGAAAGCGGGGGACCGUAAGGCCUCGCGCGAUUGGAGCGGCCGAUGUCAGAUUAGGUAGUUGGUGGGGUAAAGGCUCACCAAGCCAACGAUCUGUAGCUGGUCUGAGAGGACGACCAGCCACACUGGGACUGAGACACGGCCCAGACUCCUACGGGAGGCAGCAGUGGGGAAUUUUGGACAAUGGGCGCAAGCCUGAUCCAGCAAUGCCGCGUGCAGGAAGAAGGCCUUCGGAUUGUAAACUGCUUUUGUACGGAACGAAACGGCUCUGGUUAAUACCCGGGGCUAAUGACGGUACCGUAAGAAUAAGCACCGGCUAACUACGUG
rnacentral:rRNA from 1 species